CUUCAGCGCUUUGUUCCGUUCUCUUAACUUGCAGACCCAGUCAGCGAGUUAUUUCCACAAAUGGUGCUGUUAAACUAAUGGCUCUGGGACCUAGAGGCUGGCCUCUGAGCAGUCAAGCCUUCCCCACAUUCUGCCUUGCAGAGAAUUCAUUAGAAAGUCCAGGAGCCAAGGCCCAUGCGGAAACGUUUGGUGGCCGCCAUUUUGCUUCAGGAUGGCACACGUGAGCACCUUGAACGUGAGCUCCUUAUACAACCUCUCGCCCAGCGUUAAAGGCGGCUGGGGUCGGUCAUCUCCUAGAAAGGCCCCUUGUAAAGGGCGGUGGUGGACCUCGUCAGGCUGAAAAAUGCUAAGAAGCUAGGGUUGAAAUAGAGGCCUCUUUCUGUUUGGUCAAUAAGCAGCUGUGAAGGAUGCGUAGGACGGAGCUAAAUUUAUUUGUUCCUUUCUUUCUCGGAACAGCAGCAGCCAGGCUCAGAAUGCAGCUGUCUCGCUCUCCCGUGAGCCUUCUGCAGGCACCGGCAUGCACAGAGGUUGGCCCUCCGGGACGCAAUUUUUUUUUCCCCCCCUCUGGUUGGUUCCCUUCCUGCUGCGGGCAGGAUUUCCAGGGCCUCUCUCCAGUGGGGAGAACUCGGGAGCUGCCUCCCAGGCCCCGGGUGGAAUCAUUUACCUUUUUAAAAACAGACGGGCUGCUGAACAGAGAUACCCUGGCCCUUGCGGCCACACCCUGGAAAACCACACAAGUCCUGACCGCCUCUGCUUUCACUGCUCAGACCUGUGGGAAACUUCCUUGCCUGAACGGCUUCUUGACGGUUACUGCUACGGUUCUGCUGAGUCAGAUGCACACCCCCCCAGCUGCUCACCGGAAACACAGCUGUGAGGCGAAAAUAACCACAGCGCCCGGCACGGAGCACCGUGCGCCUUCCAGAAAAGAGGGCAGAAAACCUCAAAACAGAAGAGAAAAAUACAAAACAACAACAACAAAGAAAAAGCCACCCGUCAAAAACCCACCACGGCUCGCUCACCUGGCCAGGCCUGUGGUGCUCUCCUUGUCGGUCACAGCUCAGAGACAGGAGACGGAGUGCCGAGUGUGGCGGCUUUUCCAUUGUGGUAGGUUAAGUAGCGCCCCCUUCCCUCCCCUGCAAAUGUGA
rnacentral:lncRNA from 1 species